GCAGAACUACAGCGAGAGGAUGUCUGGCUUCUCCGUGGCCAUGGGUAGACCUCCAGGGAUAUCUUCAGCGGACUUAGUGAUUGCAUAGCAAACUAGUAGGUAAAAAGUCUGCCUCUGCAAGGACGCCUGACCACAGCGCUAUCCAAACGACAUGUUCAGUGUGCAAGACCAGAAGGACUUAGGUAUUUUCACU
rnacentral:lncRNA from 1 species